rnacentral:rRNA from 1 species
GUGGGGAAUAUUGCGCAAUGGGCGAAAGCCUGACGCAGCGACGCCGCGUGAGGGACGAAGGCCUUCGGGUUGUAAACCUCUUUCAGCGCCGAAGAAGCGAAAGUGACGGUAGGCGCAGAAGAAGCACCGGCUAACUACGUGCCAGCAGCCGCGGUAAUACGUAGGGUGCAAGCGUUGUCCGGAAUUAUUGGGCGUAAAGAGCUCGUAGGCGGUCUGUCACGUCUGCUGUGAAAACUCGGGGCUUAACCCCGGGCCUGCAGUGGGUACGGGCAGACUAGAGUGCGGUAGGGGAGACUGGAAUUCCUGGUGUAGCGGUGAAAUGCGCAGAUAUCAGGAGGAACACCGGUGGCGAAGGCGGGUCUCUGGGCCGUAACUGACGCUGAGGAGCGAAAGCGUGGGGAGCAAACAGGAUUAGAUACCCGGGUAGUCC